rnacentral:rRNA from 1 species
CCGGAUUACUGGGUUGUAAAUGGAGCGUAUGCGGUUUUUACAAGUCUGAUGUGAAAGCCCGGGGUUCAAUUAACGGUAUUGCAUUGGAAACUGUAGAACUAGAGUGUCCGAGGGGUAAGAGGAAUUUCUAGUGUAGCGGUGAAAUGUGUAUAUAUUUGGAGGAACACCAGUGGCGAAGGCGGCUUACUGCACGAUUUCUGACGCUGAGGCUCGAAAGCGUGGGGAGCAAACCGCUUACAUACUCUGUUAUUCCACGCCGUAAACGAUU